rnacentral:rRNA from 1 species
UACUCGAGUGGCGAACUGGUGAGUAACACGUGGGUGAUCUGCCCUGCACUUCGGGAUAAGCUUGGGAAACUGGGUCUAAUACCGGAUAGGAGCCAUCUUUAGUGUGGUGGUUGGAAAGUUUUUUCGGUGUAGGAUGAGCUCGCGGCCUAUCAGCUUGUUGGCGGGGUAAUGGCCUACCAAGGCGGCGACGGGUAGCCGGCCUGAGAGGGUGUACGGCCACAUUGGGACUGAGAUACGGCCCAG